AGUGAUCAGUCCUAUGUGAUCAGUUUUGUGGUUCCUAACCAGAAAAGGUUGACACUUUUGGCACAACAGAAAGGGGUAGAAGGAACUUGGGUUGAUAUCUGCAAUAAUCCUGCUAUGGAAGCUGAAAUACUGAAAGAAAUUCGAGAAGCUGCAAAUGCCAAGCCCACUGUGGCUUUGCCAGCCUUCUGGACUCCGACAGUGCUUACCAUCUGUGUCUGUCCUUUGGCAACUAGCCAAACUCAACUCAGUUCAAUUCAACCAACUUCCAUAGAGCUGCACUGUUGGCAGGAAGCACUCACAGUCUCAAGGAAUGGGGAAAGCAUUUCCUAUCCAUGGCGCCUCAAUUGUACUUUUAAAACAAACUUGGCAUGGAAGAGAACCUUUCCCGAG
rnacentral:lncRNA from 1 species